GAUGAACGCUGGCGGCGUGCCUAAUACAUGCAAGUCGAACGCAUCACUUCGGUGAUGAGUGGCGAACGGGUGAGUAAUACAUAAGUAACCUAGCCUCUGGAGGGGGAUAACUAUUGGAAACGAUAGCUAAGACCGCAUAGGCAUAGGCAUCGCAUGAUGAAUAUGUUAAAUAUCCCACGGGAUAGCGAGAGGAUGGACUUAUGGCGCAUUAGCUGGUUGGUGAGGUAGAGGCUCACCAAGGCGACGAUGCGUAGCCGACCUGAGAGGGUGGACGGCCACACUGGGACUGAGACACGGCCCAGACUCCUACGGGAGGCAGCAGUAGGGAAUUUUCGGCAAUGGGCGAAAGCCUGACCGAGCAACGCCGCGUGAGGGAGGAAGUACUUCGGUAUGUAAACCUCUGUUAUAAAGGAAGAACGGCAUAUGUAGGGAAUGACAUAUGAGUGACGGUACUUUAUGAGGAAGCCACGGCCAACUACGUGCCAGCCGCCGCCGUAAAAC
rnacentral:rRNA from 1 species